rnacentral:rRNA from 1 species
GACGAACGCUGGCGGCGUGCCUAAUACAUGCAAGUAGAACGCUGAAGAGAGGAGCUUGCUCUUCUUGGAUGAGUUGCGAACGGGUGAGUAACGUGUAGGUAACCUGCCUUGUAGCGGGGGAUAACUAUUGGAAACGAUAGCUAAUACCGCAUAACAAUGGAUGACACAUGUCAUUUAUUUGAAAGGGGCAAUUGCUCCACUACAAGAUGGACCUGCGUUGUAUUAGCUAGUAGGUGAGGUAAUGGCUCACCUAGGCGACGAUACAUAGCCGACCUGAGAGGGUGAUCGGCCACACUGGGACUGAGACACGGCCCAGACUCCUACGGGAGGCAGCAGUAGGGAAUCUUCGGCAAUAGGGGCAACCCUGACCGAGCAACGCCGCGUGAGUGAAGAAGGUUUUCGGAUCGUAAAGCUCUGUUGUAAGCCAAGAACGGGUGUGAGAGUGGAAAGUUCACACUGUGACGGUAGCUUACCAGAAAGGGACGGCUAACUACGUG